ensembl:lncRNA
GUUCUUAAAACGAGCUUGUGUAAAUCUUAUUCGAUCCUCAAGCUGUCAGUAAGCUGAUAACUCCGCCCCCUCUAUAUUCAUUGAAUCAACUGAAGUUCCACAGCAGCCGCACAGUAGACAACAGCUGAGCUGAACAAAGUUUUGCGAAGGGGAAAGUGUAGUGAAUAAGAAACCUUCAAGAGACCAACAUCCCUGGUCCACCACAGUAUCAAAUUUUUGCCAGGUAGGCGGAUACAUGUUGGAUAUGUUAUAGUAACGGUAUGGCUAUAGUUUCUUAUAAUCUGGAAUUGAGUUGUGUUAUUGAAUUUGUCAUGAAGAUGUGACCAUUUCUUUCUUUUAUGCAGGCUUACUAAAUAAUCUUGAUAUAAAAAAAGGGAGGGGGGUGCCCUUUUUCAGUUUCAGCACAUGCCCCUCAAAAGGUCUGUGCACGGCCCUGCCUCUGAGCAAGUCCGAGCUUGGAAAGCGCCUCCAUCCUAGACUUGUCUGGCGUCGGAUUUUGAAAUUGAAAUGCUCCGCGUGGGAAGGUUGCGCACGCAGGCCGGUUCUCCACCAUCUAAAGGGUGCGCCGGGCCGGAGAGGUUAGCGAGCGUCUGCCCCCGGCGCUCCUGAACGCUGACGGCUUCGGCGGCGAUCGAGUGGGGAAUGCGCCCUGGUGCUCGGCGAUCUUGCUGGUGAUUACUACUGGACUGGGAACUGAACCUGCGGGUGGCAGGUGUCUAAAGUCCUCGUGCGGCCCGUCUGAGACGUCCAGGUCACGGUUCGGCUUCACUUCAAAAGGAGUCUCCGGGGGUAUAAUCAGCUCUUGGAAAUCUGACGAAGCAAACACAUUUAAAGUUGGGUUAAUGUAGAAAUAUGUAAUGACAACACUCAAUCUGACAUCUAAAGAAAUUUCAUUCAA